rnacentral:rRNA from 1 species
AAGCCUGAUGCAGCAACGCCGCGUGAACGAUGAAGGUCUUCGGAUCGUAAAGUUCUGUUGCAGGGGAAGAUAAUGACGGUACCCUGUGAGGAAGCCCCGGCUAACUACGUGCCAGCAGCCGCGGUAAUACGUAGGGGGCUAGCGUUAUCCGGAUUUACUGGGCGUAAAGGGUGCGUAGGUGGUCCUUCAAGUCGGUGGUUAAAGGCUACGGCUCAACCGUAGUAAGCCGCCGAAACUGGAGGACUUGAGUGCAGGAGAGGAAAGUGGAAUUCCCAGUGUAGCGGUGAAAUGCGUAGAUAUUGGGAGGAACACCAGUAGCGAAGGCGGCUUUCUGGACUGCAACUGACACUGAGGCACGAAAGCGUGGGUAGCAAACAGGAUUAGAUACCCUGGUAGUCCACGCUGUAAACGAUGAGUACUAGGUGUCGGGGGUUACCCCCCUCGGUGCCGCAGCUAACGCAUUAAGUACUCCGCCUGGGGGAGUACGCACGCAAGCGUGAAACUCAAAGGAAUUGACGGGGACCCGCACAAGUAGCGGAGCAUGUGGUUGAAUUCGAAGCAACGCGAAGAAC